AUAAAUAAAUACGUUAUACCGUAGACAGUAGGUGCGAGACAGUCGCUUAAAUUACCUACCGAGGUGUGUAGAUAAUAUUUUGAGAUAGUUGUUCGCUCAUAACUAUCUCGGACUUAUGUGCCUCCAUGUCUACAUGGGGGCAUUUUUAAUGGCAAA
rfam:Pontibacillus yanchengensis Y32 contig30, whole genome shotgun sequence.